CCCCCCGCCCAGCCCCCACCGGCCUACGGAGGAGCCCAACAGCUGCGGCCCCCCGCCGCGUUCCCGGCGCUGCCGUUCCUGCCCCAGCAGCCGCCAGGGGGCGCCUUCGGCCUCCACGGCACUUCCCACCUGGACAGGCAGGGUUCCUCCCCCCCAGCUCGUCGCUGCCGCUGCAGAAGCAGCUG